GAUCAACACUGGGAGUGCCGGUGAGGCCGGCUGAGAAAAAGGCCUAUUAGUCUUUAAUCCCUAUAACCUGAUCUGGAUUAUACCAGCGGAGGGAAGUGUAUUUACAUUAGA
rnacentral:ncRNA from 1 species